UACGGAGGGGGCUAGCGUUGUUCGGAAUUACUGGGCGUAAAGCGCACGUAGGCGGCUUUGUAAGUUAGAGGUGAAAGCCCGGAGCUCAACUCCGGAACUGCCUUUAAGACUGCAUCGCUUGAAUCAUGGAGAGGUCAGUGGAAUUCCGAGUGUAGAGGUGAAAUUCGUAGAUAUCGGGAGGAACACCGGUGGCGAAGGCGGCGACCUGGGUAGAUACUGACGCUGAGGCGCGAAAGCGUGGGGAGCAAACAGG
rnacentral:rRNA from 1 species